rnacentral:lncRNA from 1 species
UAGAUCAAUGUAUGGAAGUUUAGAAAAAGACUUCAUAUCAAUAACAAGGAACACAAUCUUAUAUUUCAUAAUAAAAUAACAAUGAAUGAAUGCAUUCAUAACAUAACAGAAUUGUUUUCUUUCAGGUCCAUAGACUCCCUAUCACUGGAUGAUCAAAGCAGGUGUUCUACUAGAGAGAAGAUAAAAAUGUGGAUUGUGUGCAGCAUUCGGCAGGGACAGAGGACACUAAUAUCAAUGCCAAGGAAGUCACUGCAGGAACAAUGAUCUGAGGAGACCCAACAGUUUUAAGGCAAGUCUUUGAAGGGCCCCUCUGUGUGGAAGCCUCAGAUCUGAUUUGACUGGUUUGCUGCAACCCUGAUGAGUUGAGAUUCUUUGAAGUGAGAGGUCUGCAACUUAACUCUUCCUGAUAACUUUUUCCUCUGACCAACUUUCUUAUCUUAUUGUGGCAAUGAAGAUAAAUCCAGUUUAGUUUGUUUUGAGGAGCAAUAACAGCACUCCCUACUUCAUCUCCUCUACACACAAAUUUACACAGCCUUUCUAAAGAUGCAUACCUGGGCAACUCGAG